UGUGAGCAAUGUUUUGAUCCAUAAUAGGAUUAACGACGUGAAGAAUGAUUUACGAAUUUAUUUGUAAUAUAAAUUUGAAACUAUGUUUAUGAAAAAUGGAUGAUUUGUUCAUGCAUGAUUUGCUUUAUUCAUGAUAGACUGUACUAUGACAUGCUUAUUUUGGAAUAUCUAUUAUUUUUUUUAAUUGAUGCAUUGACAUUGAAAAACUUAUGCUUGAUCCGAUAAAGUAAUGUAAGAUUUACUUACUGAGUUGUGUCGCUCAUAUAUUUCUAUUUUUAUUUUUCUCUCUCUAGGCAAAUAGGGUCAAUAGGAAUGACAAAUGGUCCAGGCGUAGAGUUCGUGCUAGCAAGCCUGGCGAUCUAUACAACGGAAUUUUAGUUCUUCAGUUAAUUAUGAAUUUGUAGUUAAGUAAUUUUCUAAAUUUUGAGGAGUAUGGGUUUGAUAUUUAUGUUUGGAUUUAGAUGCUCUGAAUCAAUAUUGGUUGUAUUUAGUGGAUAAUGAAAUUGGAUUCUUAUUUAUUCUAUUUUUUUGAGAUGAAUUUGGAAGUUAAGAUAGAUUUGAAAUCUAAGAUUUAAGGUUUGGCUUCGUGUUAUCGUGGGUUAUACCCUAUGGUAGCACGGUCGUGUCAUGCUCCGGAUCUAAGGCAUGACAAAUAUGGUAUCAAAGCUUAGGUUUAGGAUCAUUGGGGAUUGUGAUAGAAAUGUAUCAAAUCUUGAGGUUAUGAUCACUUGGGACAUAACAAAAGUAGUAGAAAUAAAUUCAGUGCUUAUGUGUAAGUUUACUAGGCAUUGUAAUAAAAUGUAUCUAUUAGGUUUGGUAUUCGAUGAGUACAGAAGAAUUGGAUGAUUUAUCUCUGAUCAUGAUAAGAAAGGUUUGACCUAAGGUUAGUGUAGGAAGGUUAACCAUGAUAUACCAUAUUAGUAGGUUAUACGGUAUUGUGUUUAUUUGUUCAGAUGUUGUUUAAAUGAUUUGGAAGUUCCAACUUGAUAUGGGUGUAGAUGUGAUAGCCUUUUAGUCUUGCUGCUAAUUAUUAGAGUGAAAUUUGUACAUGGCUUUUCGAGUGGAAUUUGUACAUGGAUCUUUCAGAGUAUUGGAGUGAGCUGAGAAAGAUUUUUCAUAAUAUUGUAGAAAAAUAACAACAUUAUUUCCUAGUUCACAGUUUUGUUAUUAAAAAAAAUACUUUUCAGGUCGUAUGAACCUUUUUUGUGGAAAAAAAAGAAUUGGUUUAAGAUUUAAUUUUAGAACGAAAUGUUAUUUUAUGAUGGGAACAAUGGAAAUGCCAAAUUAUUGCCCUUAUUUGUGUUAUAACAGGCUGUUAUAACAUUAUAACAGCUGUCAAACCAUGGCUAAGACGAAUAUAAUUUUGGGAUAGUAGCAUGGAUGCUGAUGUGCGAAAUAGUGAAGCCCCAAAUCCGUU
rnacentral:lncRNA from 1 species